GAUGAACGCUGGCGGCGUGCUUAACACAUGCAAGUCGAACGAUGAAGCCCAGCUUGCUGGGUGGAUUAGUGGCGAACGGGUGAGUAACACGUGAGUAACCUGCCCUUGACUCUGGGAUAAGCCUGGGAAACUGGGUCUAAUACUGGAUAUGACUUCUCAUCGCAUGGUGGGGGGUGGAAAGAUUUAUUGGUAUUGGAUGGACUCGCGGCCUAUCAGCUUGUUGGUGAGGUAAUGGCUCACCAAGGCGACGACGGGUAGCCGGCCUGAGAGGGUGACCGGCGACAAUGGGACUGAGAGACGGACCAGACUCCUACGGGAGGCAGCAGGGGGGAAUAUUGCACAGUGGGCGCAAGCCUGAUGCAGCGGCGCCGCGUGAGGGAUGACGGCCUUCGGGUUGUAAACCUCUUUCAGUAGGGAAGAAGCGAGAGUGACGGUACCUGCAGAAGAAGCGCCGGCUAACUACGUG
rnacentral:rRNA from 1 species